GACACUGAAGUCCUGCCUGUGUAAUAACACCGAAGAGGGCAGGGAAUCGCUGCGUCCUGUGACUUGAAGGCCACUGUGAAGGAAAACAAUGCAGUGAAAGAAAGUUCCUCCUAUGUGGACAUUGUAUCACGUUUAUUUAUCUUCCUGGAUAUGCUUAUGGCCUUUAAAACAUAUUAAAAUAGGCUAUGCUAUUAUCUCUUAAAAUAUCUGUUUUCCCUCAGGUAACUGGAGACGCACCCUGCUACUCCUCACGUCACUCUUGUUCCCUAAACCAGGCUGGGCCUCCCACUCGCCCCACAGGCAGGUGACGUAUGACAGCCAGAAACCCCAAAUCUGCAGUUCUCCCCAGGAUGAAACGAAACACAGUGUGACAGGCUUCUGAUAAGGGAAUCAAUGUCUGUUUAUUAAGGCAGAUGCUCAUAAAAGUGACUUUCAGUAACAUUUUCAG
rnacentral:lncRNA from 1 species